CUUGACAUCCAGCGAAUUCGGUAGAGAUACCUUAGUGCCUUCGGGAACGCUGAGACAGGUGCUGCAUGGCUGUCGUCAGCUCGUGUUGUGAAAUGUUGGGUUAAGUCCCGCAACGAGCGCAACCCUUAUCCUUUGUUGCCAGCGGUCCGGCCGGGAACUCAAAGGAGACUGCCAGUGAUAAACUGGAGGAAGGUGGGGAUGACGUCAAGUCAUCAUGGCCCUUACGAGUAGGGCUACGCACGUGCUACAAUGGCGCAUACAAAGAGAAGCGACCUCGCGAGAGCAAGCGGACCUCAUAAAGUGCGUCGUAGUCCGGAUUGGAGUCUGCAACUCGACUCCAUGAAGUCGGAAUCGCUAGUAAUCGUAGAUCAGAAUGCUACGGUGAAUACGUUCCCGGGCCUUGUACACACCGCCCGUCACACCAUGGGAGUGGGUUGCAAAAGAAGUAGGUAGCUUAACCUUCGGGAGGGCGCUUACCACUUUGUGAUUCAUGACUGGGGUGAAGUCGUAACAAGGUAAGCGUACGUGU
rnacentral:rRNA from 1 species